rnacentral:rRNA from 1 species
AUUGAACGCUGGCGGCAGGCUUAACACAUGCAAGUCGAGCGAGCGGCGGACGGGUGAGUAAUGUCUGGGAAACUGCCUGAUGGAGGGGGAUAACUACUGGAAACGGUAGCUAAUACCGCAUACCAUCAGAUGUGCCCAGAUGGGAUUAGCUAGUAGGUGGGGUAAUGGCUCACCUAGGCGACGAUCCCUAGCUGGUCUGAGAGGAUGACCAGCCAAGCUGGAACUUGGACACGAUCCAGACACCUACGGGAGGCAGCAGGGGGGAAUAUUGCACAAUGGGCGCAGGCCUGAUGCAGCCAUGCCGCGUGUGUGAAGAAGGCCUUCGGGUUGUAAAGCACGUUCAGCGAGGAGACGUGACUCACAGAAGGAGCACCGGCGAACUCCGUGCCAGCAGCCGCGGUAAUAC